AAAGGAAAGACUAGAGAGAGAGAGAGACGGUAGAUCUCGGGAGGCUCUGCGCAAACGAGGACGCUCGCUCGUGCUGCUUCUACCCUCGUCUGCACUCAUUGACGUCGCAGCCCCAGCCCGUGAGCGACAACGACGGCACUGCCCCCCACUCCCGACGCUUGCUGCUCGUCGCCGCCGCCGCCGCCUUCGUUCUCCCGACGAGCUGCUUUGCUGUCCAAGCCGCGACGACCACCUCCGACGGCACUGCCCUUUCCUCCCGCCGAACCUAUCUGAUGUCAUUCCUCUCUCUCCCAAAAAAUAAAAUUAAAUAAAUAAAUCCUCCCUCAAAUUUGGGAUUCUGAAGCUGAGAGCCUGUUUUGUGCUGCAUUUCUUCUCUAGUCCUUGAUUUCUUUUGUUCUCUUUUUUUCGCUGGGCCCUGCCCGCGGGAGGCCGUCGUGUCCAUCGCCGAACCUAACGGGCUGUCCCAAGCCGCUGCCGUUGCAUCAUGAUGUCGAGCCUGUUUUCGUUCGCUCGGCGUCCUCAUGGCUUCGUCUUGCAUCGCUACCCCCGGCCGAAAGUCACUACCGAGACGAGAUGAGACGAGCCGCGUCACAAAUCGUCGGCCGAAUCACCGCCGGGUGCACCUCGCCGAACCACCACCGUGGCCAUCCUUUGCCAGGGAGCACCGUGCCGGUCAUCCGUCUAGCCGAUUCCGAUGAAGUCCAUCCUGUGAAUUUAGUAUGUUCCCGAGUAUCUCCGUCUUCAUUGGAAUAUCGGUCAUCUUUGUGUGCUCUACCGUGGAAGCAUUCAAAAAGCCUCAGCUCACCACACCAAGUUACCAACCUUUUUUUCUCUUAUGGGGAGAGAGAGAGAGGUCUGGAAGUAAUACGCUUCCCAGAUAUGGCACACUCAAAGGCCAGAGCAUCAGAAGUUCAGUACGAUGUGUUCUUGAGUUUUAGUGGAGCGGAUACUCGUUUUGACUUCACGGACUUCCUCCAUCAAGGCUUGAAUAAUGCCAGAAUCUUCGUAUUCAGGGACGAAGAUGCAAUUGAGGUGGGUGAUAAGAUUGAUGAGACAAUUCUACAAGCUAUCGACAACUCCAAAAUCUACAUACCCAUCAUCUCUCAUACUUAUCCUGACCGUGAAUGGUGUCUCAUCGAGCUUGAACACAUGAUGUACAAUGUGUUUAGGUCAAAUGGCAAAAAAAGGAUUUUCCCCAUCUUUUAUAAAGUGGAACCUGGGCAUGUUAAACAUCGGACUCCACGCCCCAAAAAUCUUUCCUCCGAAGUCAAACUUAGGGUGUUCAAAGAGGCUCUUGCAAAAGUUGGUCAAAUCAAGGGAUGGAAGGUCGAGGAGGGACAAAGCCAAUCAAAAAUUGUCGAUUUGGUCGUUCGAAAGGUUUUGGAGGAGCUAGGCAGAAAAGAUGAGUCACGGACUGAGCAUCCCAUUGAGCUUGAUGACUUGACACAGUCACUUGAAGACUCUUAUGAUUGUGCAGUGAUGCGGUAUGCCGGAAGAGAGAGUCUAAGCAGAGGAAGUAUAGGGAGAGGGACGAGUCUAAGCAGUAAUAGUACAGAGAGGAGAUGGAGUAAUCUAAGCAUAAAUAGGAUGGAGGGCAUGGACAUGGAGGAGGCUAGGGUGAGUACAGGGAGGAGUGGAAUCAAAGGGAGUCUAAGCAUAAAUGGGAUGGAGGAUAUGUACAUGGAGGAGGGCAGUGGGAGUACAGGGGGAGAAGGGGAAGCAGCAGAAGCGGAGGGAGCAGUGGAAGCAGCAGAAGGACUAGCAGCAGCUGAAGAGGGAGGAGCGGGAGCAGUGGAAGCAGCAGGGAAUAGCAGCAGGGAAGAGGAAGCGGGGGAAGCAGUGAGAGGAAGUUUUCAAGAUAUUUGUUUGGGGACGUUCUUGGUGUGCCUUCUUUAUGCAUUGUGUUUUAGCCUUUCUCUGCUUAAAAACAAGGAAACAAGUCGAUAAACGGAUGGGUUAUGGAUGCUUCUUUCGUUUUUUGAUCAGCAUGGGAUGCUAAAUGGCGCCGGUCAAACUUGUAAGGAGAGUUUCCAUAGAUUUGAUAAGUAUCUCAACUUCUGUAAUUCAAUCAUCUCGAGAAUUCUGAUCCCUGUGCUUGUGGUCGGGCAUAUGGUAUGAAAAUAUUUGAUCUCAAAGAGUGGAAGAAGAGAAACAUCAUGGGAAUACAUCACCGAUAGCAGGAAAUGAACAAGGAUAGGACAUUGUGGAUAGUCGGCGUCUUACCCCUUGGAUUGGUCACUUUCUACAAUCUGACUAAAUAGUUCAAUCAGAGGUGGCAUCUGUUUAGACUCAGCUAUGAUCCAGCACUCAACCGGACAGAAAUGGACAAUGCAGCAGUCAUUUACAAUGGAAACUGUAAACCAUGGUUGGAGUUGGCAGUCUCCAACUAUUUUGUAAAUCUACGAUCAGUCUUGAGUGUAUGCAUAAUAAACCAAUCAAAGAGAAGGAACUUUGCCAUGCAAUUACAUUUCAAUUUGACGUUCCUGAGAAUUGCCGACACAGUCUUGUAGGUUAGAGAACUGUCCUCCAAUGGAAGAUGGCAUGAAGUGUUAGUCCACUUUAACAAAGCGAAGUGAGCAGGAAUUGAAAUCACUGAGCCUUCCAUGAUUAAUUCUGUUGUCAUAGCGUCGUCAAAGCGUCUUUCAAAGGUAUCCAAUAAACAAGGGAAGUCCAUCCAUGCUUGUGUGCUCAAGCAGGGUCUCGACAACAUUCUCUUCCAUCAGCAAUUCUGUCAUGGAUUCGUACAUGAAGUGCAGGGACUUGGAAUCCGCAUUGGGCGCCUUCCGGUCAAUGCAAAGCAGGGACUCCGUGUCGCAGAAUGUGCUCACUCGUAGGUUUCUUCAUCAGGGAAAUUUGGAAUGAAGGUUGUCAUGAUUUCGGUGAGCCCAAGUUGAUGGAUUCGAACCCAAUGUUUCCCCUUUGGUACUGGUUCUCCAGGCGCAUAUGUGGAUGUUGAUAUGGAGUGAGCAGAUGGACUUUCAUAUGCUCUUGAAGUUCAUCAAUGAGUGGAGUGGACACAUUGAUCUCGAUUCAAUCUUAGGAAUGCAGAGACAUUAUGCAAAUGUGCAGGGAUAGUUUGUUCAAAACAGAGAUGAGCAUGAAAAGGCACAAGGUUUCAGGAUGUACCCGGACAAGAUAUGAUGAAUUAUGAUCACCUGACUUAAUGUGAAAAACAUCAGAUCAGCAUUUAAAUUAGGGGGAAAAUCUCUCCUUCCUCCGCCAAUGAGGUGUGUUGAGGCCGUCAAAUUUAUCACUAAAGGAUGUAUCAUUAAGCCCAAUUAAGUAUUGGAGAUAACACGUUCCAUUUUCUUUUCUCACGGGGGGAUAAUUGAGGCAAGUCCUGAUGAAUGAAGACAUGAAGCAAAAUGAAAUUGAUUCAACACAAGAAGGGUGUAUCGUUCCUAAAUUAGUCCAAUUCAAGUUUGAAAUGCAAGUAACAUGUCCCAUCUCUUGUAGGACAAGGUGCACAUCAACCGCGGGAACGACGCCUUCUACCAAGUUGGCAUGCUAAGGCCAUCCAUUUUGUUGUAAAGGAUGUAUAUCGUUCCUAAAAUGAUUUCUAGUCAAGUGUGGAAAUAACAUGCCCAGUCUUCUAAAUGUCUCUUUGAGAUGAGCAUUUGAAAAGAGCAAGAAUUGAACUUUGUGGAUUAUCGUAUGCAGUAAAGAAAUGUUUUUCAUAAAUAAAAUCAAGGCCAUAGAGACAUUUUUCAAGCAAUCCUGUCACUUUAGGUGAUUUAUGUCAUGCAUAUCAUGCAUAUAUCCUUCAUAAUAUUUUCCUAACGUGUGUCGCCUUCAUUCUUGAUAGGAAAUGUCAUACCCGAAGAACAAAAACACGUGAAGGAGUCUUGACCGUAUAAAUAUGUCGUCGGCUUUUGGAAGGUACAAAUGCUCAAUACUAGACAUGCAAGCUAGGUUGCUGUUAGACACGCUGGGGAAGAGUAUUGAGUCUGCUUUGCAUUAGUAGCUGAGCCAUGGCAGGCAUCCAGUGAAAUGUUUCCUGGAAUUGAUCCUUGUAGGAGAUAUGCGAAGAUCAAUUUGUUGGAGAUAUGCGAGAUAUGCGAAGAUCAAUUUGGGAUCAUAAUUGAUCUAUAGUAUUGUUUCAAAAAUCAAUAUGGAAUUAGAUUUUGUUUUAUUUGAUUUCAUGUAUUGGGUCUUAUUUCUUCUUUAGUUAUAUAUCGAUUGUAUUAUAUUAAUAGGAGCGUAUUCUUGUAAAGGACAAUUCAUUCAAUACAGAAUACAGAUUUCUCCCAA